CCCUUAGAUGUUCUGGGCUGCACGCGUGUUACAAUCGGGAGUACAACAAGAUUGCAAAUCCUAGUGGAUGAGUGGUUCUUCGAAAUUUUCUGAAGACUGGGAUAGUUGAUUGAAAUUAUUCAACUCAAACGAGGAAUUCCUUGUAAUUGUAAUUCGUUAUAUUGUAAUGAAUACGUCCCUGCCCUUUGUACACACCGCCCGUCGCUCCUACCGAUUGAACGAUCCGGUGAAUUAUUUGGAGUAGCUCUGGAAGUUGCAGAACUUCCUAUGUCACGAAAUUUUGUAAACCUUAUCGUUUAGAGGAAGGAAAAGUCGUAACA
rnacentral:rRNA from 1 species